GAUGAACGCUGACAGAAUGCUUAACACAUGCAAGUCAACUUGAACUUCGGUUUGGGUGGCGGACGGGUGAGUAACGCGUAAAGAGCUUGCCUCACAGAUAGGGACAACAUUUGGAAACGAAUGCUAAUACCUGAUAUUAUGAUUUUAGGGCAUCCUAGGAUUAUGAAAGCUAUAUGCACUGUGAGAGAGCUUUGCGUCCCAUUAGCUAGUUGGAGAGGUAACGGCUCACCAAGGCGAUGAUGGGUAGCCGGCCUGAGAGGGUGAUCGGCCACAAGGGGACUGAGACACGGCCCUUACUCCUACGGGAGGCAGCAGUGGGGAAUAUUGGACAAUGGACCAAGAGUCUGAUCCAGCAAUUCUGUGUGCACGAUGAAGUUUUUCGGAAUGUAAAGUGCUUUCAGUUGGGAAGAAAAAAAUGACGGUACCAACAGAAGAAGUGACGGCUAAAUACGUGCCAGCAGCCGCGGUAAUACGUAUGUCACAAGCGUUAUCCGGAUUUAUUGGGCGUAAAGCGCGUCUAGGUGGUUAUGUAAGUCUGAUGUGAAAAUGCAGGGCUCAACUCUGUAUUGCGUUGGAAACUGUGUAACUAAAGUACUGGAGAGGUAAGCGGAACUACAAGUGUAGAGGUGAAAUUCGUAGAUAUUUGUAGGAAUGCCGACGGGGAAGCCAGCUUACUGGACAGAUACUGACGCUGAAGCGCGAAAGCGUGGGUAGCAAACAGG
rnacentral:rRNA from 1 species